rnacentral:rRNA from 1 species
GUAUGAAUGGCUUGACGAGGGCUUAGCUGUCUCUUUUCUCCAGUCAAUGAAAUUGAUCUCCCCGUGCAGAAGCGGGGAUAUCCUCAUAAGACGAGAAGACCCUAUGAAGCUUUAGACACAAAGCGAACCAAACUAUCCCCCCGGGAUCAAAAGGGGGUAACAAAAUGGGGCCCCGCUCAAUGUCUUUGGUUGGGGCGACCCCGGGGAAAAACAAAACCCCCGCGCGGAACAGAAGAAUUCCUUCCACAACCAAGA